rnacentral:rRNA from 1 species
UGCGGAAGGAUCAUUAACGAAAUUGUCUUCGGACAUUUUAUCCUUAACACCUGUGAACUAUUGUAAUUUUUUGCUUUGGUCCUUCGGGGCCAGAGGAUUUAAUCAAAACCUUUUAUUAUUAACCUGAGUCUGAAAAUUGAAAAAUUGAAUUAUUCA